AUUGAACGCUGGCGGCAGGCCUAACACAUGCAAGUCGAGCGGAUGAAGGGAGCUUGCUCCUGGAUUCAGCGGCGGACGGGUGAGUAAUGCCUAGGAAUCUGCCUGGUAGUGGGGGAUAACGUCCGGAAACGGGCGCUAAUACCGCAUACGUCCUGAGGGAGAAAGUGGGGGAUCUUCGGACCUCACGCUAUCAGAUGAGCCUAGGUCGGAUUAGCUAGUUGGUGGGGUAAAGGCCUACCAAGGCGACGAUUCGUGACUGGUCUGAGAGGAUGAUCAGUCACACUGGAACUGAGACACGGUCCAGACUCCUACGGGAGGCAGCAGUGGGGAAUAUUGGACAAUGGGCGAAAGCCUGAUCCAGCCAUGCCGCGUGUGUGAAGAAGGUCUUCGGAUUGUAAAGCACUUUAAGUUGGGAGGAAGGGCAGUAAGUUAAUACCUUGCUGUUUUGACGUUACCAACAGAAUAAGCACCGGCUAACUUCGUG
rnacentral:rRNA from 1 species